rnacentral:rRNA from 1 species
UAAGCGACUAAGCGUACACGGUGGAUGCCUAGGCAGUCAGAGGCGAUGAAGGGCGUGCUAAUCUGCGAAAAGCGUCGGUAAGCUGAUAUGAAGCGUUAUAACCGACGAUACCCGAAUGGGGAAACCCAGUGCAAUACGUUGCACUAUCGUUAGAUGAAUACAUAGUCUAACGAGGCGAACCGGGGGAACUGAAACAUCUAAGUACCCCGAGGAAAAGAAAUCAACCGAGAUUCCCCCAGUAGCGGCGAGCGAACGGGGAGGAGCCCAGAGUCUGAAUCAGUUUGUGUGUUAGUGGAAGCGUCUGGAAAGUCGCACGGUACAGGGUGAUAGUCCCGUACACCAAAAUGCACAGGCUGUGAACUCGAUGAGUAGGGCGGGACACGUGACAUCCUGUCUGAAUAUGGGGGGACCAUCCUCCAAGGCUAAAUACUCCUGACUGACCGAUAGUGAACCAGUACCGUGAGGGAAAGGCGAAAAGAACCCCGGCGAGGGGAGUGAAAUAGAACCUGAAACCGUGUACGUACAAGCAGUGGGAGCACCUUCGUGGUGUGACUGCGUACCUUUUGUAUAAUGGGUCAGCGACUUAUAUUUUGUAGCAAGGUUAACCGAAUAGGGGAGCCGUAGGGAAACCGAGUCUUAACUGGGCGUCUAGUUGCAAGGUAUAGACCCGAAACCCGGUGAUCUAGCCAUGGGCAGGUUGAAGGUUGGGUAACACUAACUGGAGGACCGAACCGACUAAUGUUGAAAAAUUAGCGGAUGACUUGUGGCUGGGGGUGAAAGGCCAAUCAAACCGGGAGAUAGCUGGUUCUCCCCGAAAGCUAUUUAGGUAGCGCCUCGUGAACUCAUCUUCGGGGGUAGAGCACUGUUUCGGCUAGGGGGCCAUCCCGGCUUACCAAACCGAUGCAAACUCCGAAUACCGAAGAAUGUUAUCACGGGAGACACACGGCGGGUGCUAACGUCCGUCGUGAAGAGGGAAACAACCCAGACCGCCAGCUAAGGUCCCAAAGUCAUGGUUAAGUGGGAAACGAUGUGGGAAGGCACAGACAGCCAGGAUGUUGGCUUAGAAGCAGCCAUCAUUUAAAGAAAGCGUAAUAGCUCACUGGUCGAGUCGGCCUGCGCGGAAGAUGUAACGGGGCUAAACCAUGCACCGAAGCUGCGGCAGCGACACUUAGGUGUUGUUGGGUAGGGGAGCGUUCUGUAAGCCGUUGAAGGUGACCUGUGAGGGUUGCUGGAGGUAUCAGAAGUGCGAAUGCUGACAUAAGUAACGAUAAUGCGGGUGAAAAACCCGCACGCCGGAAGACCAAGGGUUCCUGUCCAACGUUAAUCGGGGCAGGGUGAGUCGACCCCUAAGGCGAGGCUGAAAAGCGUAGUCGAUGGGAAACAGGUUAAUAUUCCUGUACUUGGUGUUACUGCGAAGGGGGGACGGAGAAGGCUAGGCUGGCCGGGCGACGGUUGUCCCGGUUUAAGCGUGUAGGGGGAGUGACCAGGUAAAUCCGGUUGCUUAUCAACCCUGAGGCGUGAUGACGAUGCACCACGGUGCAGAAGCAGUUGAUGCCAUGCUUCCAGGAAAAGCCUCUAAGCAUCAGGUAACAUUAAAUCGUACCCCAAACCGACACAGGUGGUCAGGUAGAGAAUACUCAGGCGCUUGAGAGAACUCGGGUGAAGGAACUAGGCAAAAUGGUGCCGUAACUUCGGGAGAAGGCACGCUGGCGUUAGGUGAAAGGACUGGCUCCUGGAGCUGAAGCCAGUCGCAGAUACCAGCUGGCUGCAACUGUUUAAUAAAAACACAGCACUGUGCAAACACGAAAGUGGACGUAUACGGUGUGACGCCUGCCCGGUGCUGGAAGGUUAAUUGAUGGGGUCAGCCGCAAGGCGAAGCUCUUGAUCGAAGCCCCAGUAAACGGCGGCCGUAACUAUAACGGUCCUAAGGUAGCGAAAUUCCUUGUCGGGUAAGUUCCGACCUGCACGAAUGGCGUAAUGAUGGCCAGGCUGUCUCCACCCGAGACUCAGUGAAAUUGAACUCGCUGUGAAGAUGCAGUGUACCCGCGGCAAGACGGAAAGACCCCGUGAACCUUUACUAUAGCUUGACACUGAACAUUGAGCCUUGAUGUGUAGGAUAGGUGGGAGGCCUUGAAGUGUGGACGCCAGUCUGCAUGGAGCCAACCUUGAAAUACCACCCUUUAAUGUUUGAUGUUCUAACUCGGCCCCAUGAUCUGGGGUGAGGACAGUGUCUGGUGGGUAGUUUGACUGGGGCGGUCUCCUCCCAAAGAGUAACGGAGGAGCACGUAGGUUAGCUAAUCACGGUCGGACAUCGUGAGGUUAGUGCAAAGGCAUAAGCUAGCUUGACUGCGAGAGUGACGGCUCGAGCAGGUACGAAAGUAGGUCUUAGUGAUCCGGUGGUUCUGAAUGGAAGGGCCAUCGCUCAACGGAUAAAAGGUAACUCCGGGGAUAACAGGCUGAUACCGCCCAAGAGUUCAUAUCGACGGCGGUGUUUGGCACCUCGAUGUCGGCUCAUCACAUCCUGGGGCUGAAGUAGGUCCCAAGGGUAUGGCUGUUCGCCAUUUAAAGUGGUACGCGAGCUGGGUUUAGAACGUCGUGAGACAGUUCGGUCCCUAUCUGCCGUGGGCGUUGGAAGAUUGAGAGGGGCUGCUCCUAGUACGAGAGGACCGGAGUGGACGAAUCACUGGUGUUCGGGUUGUCAUGCCAAUGGCAUUGCCCGGUAGCUAAAUUCGGAAGAGAUAACCGCUGAAAGCAUCUAAGCGGGAAACUUGCCUCGAGAUGAGUCUUCCCUGGGGCUUAAAGCCCCCUGAAGGAACGUUAAAGACUAUGACGUUGAUAGGCUGGGUGUGUAAGUGCAGCGAUGUAUUGAGCUAACCAGUACUAAUGAUCCGUGAGGCUUAACCU